GCACAGAAUACAUAUUUCUACAGAGACGAAACUUUUGUCAUAGAAUAUUCUCAUGGACACAAAACUUUUAUCAGAAUUUUCAAUGUUCGUACUUAUCCACAAAUUGAAUACGUAAUUAUAAUACACAUGUUGUACUUACGGCAGCGUUGCUACUUCUUUAGGAGAAUUAUUCGAAAGUUUAAAAGCGUUGUGAUAUUUUAAACGUAAUAUGGAAUCCAUAGUGAAUAGACAACGAUACUUAAGAUUUUAAAUCGUGUUAACAUAUGUAUGCAUAUAACUAUGUUCACAAUGUCACGAAGCAAAUAUGUAUUGCUGCUCUCGUGGCGAAACAAAAGGAGUAUGAGAACAGAGAGAAGGCUGAACCCAAGCUGGGUUACCAAGCUGAAUCACAGCUUCUAUCUUCUGUGUACAGUAUGUAGGUACAUACAUACAAGAUGUAUGUACGAAGAGAAUCAUGCACCGAUAUCAAAAAUGUACAUACAUAAACGGGAUAUG